rnacentral:lncRNA from 1 species
ACUCAGCAGUGCCUGCGGUUGCAAAUACGGUUCCUGUUUCAUCCUGAUUCACCUCCCCCGCUCCCCCAGUCUGUGAGGAUGAAAUGACCCACAAAACCGUGGAGCCCCGAAGAAAGGAAAAGACGUCAUCAGGAGGUGUUUCCAGAAUUCAGCCUGACAACACCUGGCACGCCUGGUGAAGCUCUGGGAGGAGCCGACGCGUCCGAGCGGGUACAAAUAGACCCCCCGAUCACCACCCUCUCCUCAGAGUUCACCGACGCCUGAAGCCGACGGCUCCGACCCCGGCCAGGCCACCUCCUCCAUCAUGAAGCUUUCGCUUGUCAUUGGGCUGGCCAUCCUGGCUGCUUCCUGCAGUAAGGGAAGUGCCGCAGUCUGCCCAGCGCUUCUGAAAGAGUUAAAUAUUUAUUUCUACGGUUCAGAGGACACUUUCCGAAAUGACCUCGAGGGAUUCAAUGCAACCGAGGACAUGAUUCAGGCCAAACUUACUGAGAAGAAGUGUACCGAUCAGUUAUCCUUAAAUGAACGGCUUUUGAUUUCAAAAUUCAUGGGGAACAUUAUAACUUUUGCUUGCUGAUAGUAGCUCCCUUAGACUUCAAGAUCCCGUUAUGUCCUCUGAGCUGCUAAUUCCCAAUUGCCGCCUAUCAACCACCUCUCUCUGACUGCAAAACUAUUCAUCUUCCGACUGAUUAGCUCCGAGAUCACCUCCAGCCUUCACAUCUUGGAGGCAAUCCUUGUAGAACUAAGGUACAGAAACCUCCCGAGAUGCUUGUAGCCUGCUUCGAUGUCUCCUUUCAAUAAAUGGAAUGCAAUACAAUCCUUUCCUUGCUUUGGUCAUUCUCUGGAAGGAGCCCUGGAGGGUCGUUUGGAACUAAGGGAGGAAUUAAUCCAUCAGCCAUUUAUCCAGUGAUAUUUACGGAGCUCUUACUGUGUGCAGAGCACUGUACUGAGUGCUUGAGUGAGUACAAUACCA